UGGAUCUCCAUAUGCAGCAACCUCCACGCGGUGGGAUCUGGGUCGGUAUUACUUGCGAUAUAUCGAAAUGACGUAUCAACAAUAUGUAAACAAUCAAGGGACGAGCUAGAGGACGAUCUUCCUGACUCAUCUCUACAGUUUUCGUUCGUAUAAGCAACCUUCUAGACGUGUUCGAACCUGUUCCUGCUUCUUCAAUUUCAGUUAUUAUUCAUCAUAUUGGCCAAUAUAAUAUUCAUCAAUUCGUUUGGACGCCUACACAUUUGAUAGCAGUUAUCAUAUACUUCCUGCUGCACUUCCUAUAUAGAAAUUUAUACAUGGAUCUCCAUACGCAGCUACCUCCUUGUGGUGGGAUCCGGAAAUCGGUAUUGCGAACGUUCGUAUAUUUUAUAUUAUACAACGUACGCACUACCGGGCCAAAGGCUGACGUUCGGUGCAUUAGGAAAUAAUUUUGAUUAAAUAUUAAUUUAUUAAAAAUUUGUUGAAACGUAUUUUACAUUGAAUUUAAAGAAUAUUAAGAAGCACCGAGAAUAAUGAAAAUGUAAUUAAAGUAUAAUAAAAGUUAAAUUAAAAUAGAAUAAAAUUUCAAGAUGCGUUUAAUCGUUUAAUUAAUAUUAUAAAUAUUAUAUUUUCAAUUUUACUGCUCCUUGUCUUGUUUUACUUUAAUGCUAUAUCUAUUUUGAUUUAUAGGUAUCCACGCAAUUAGUAUACUUCUGUGAACAUAUCCCUAUCGCGAUUAUAUCUAUUUUUAAACGAUAGAUACAACGCGAUUUUGAUCGUUUGCUUUUACAUAUUCAUUUAUUUUAAUAUAGCUUAUAAGUUUUGCAGUUACAUCUUUUAAAUAGUAC